rnacentral:tRNA from 1 species
GGAGAGGUGGCCGAGCGGUAAGGCAGCUGCUUGCUAAGCAGUCGUCCGGGUGACACCGGCGGCGGGUUCAAUUCCCGCCCUCUCCG